AAUGAGUUGGAGGCAAAGGGGUUAUCACUUGCGGGAGUGGGUUCUACAAGAGGUGGAUGGUCCUAGGAUGAGGAAGUGCCCACUAGAGCCAUUAGUCUUUAAGGUGGAAGGGGCAAAGAUUGAGGUUUGGGUGGUAGUGAUGUUGUUUGUGGUGGUGGAUAAGAAUCACUAGGGUUAUGAACAUGUGAGGGAAAAAGGGAUUUUGAAGGAGGAGCGGUGACAAAAGUGGAGGCUUUCUGAGGUUGGUUCAUUUCUGGGUCAUUUCUUUUCAGUGAGCCAUAGUGAGGGGGAUUGAGUGACU
rnacentral:lncRNA from 1 species